rnacentral:rRNA from 1 species
AGUGAACGCUGGCGGUAGGCCUAACACAUGCAAGUCGAACGGCAGCACAGUAAGAGCUUGCUCUUACGGGUGGCGAGUGGCGGACGGGUGAGGAAUACAUCGGAAUCUACUUUUUCGUGGGGGAUAACGUAGGGAAACUUACGCUAAUACCGCAUACGACCUACGGGUGAAAGCAGGGGAUCUUCGGACCUUGCGCGAUUGAAUGAGCCGAUGUCGGAUUAGCUAGUUGGCGGGGGAAAGGCCCACCAAGGCGACGAUCCGUAGCUGGUCUGAGAGGAUGAUCAGCCACACUGGAACGGAGACACGGUCCAGACGCCUACGGGAGGCAGCAGUGGGGAAUAUUGGACAAUGGGCGCAAGCCUGAUCCAGCCAUACCGCGUGGGUGAAGAAGGCCUUCGGGUUGUAAAGCCCUUUUGUUGGGAAAGAAAAGCAGCAGGUUAAUACCCCGCUGUUCUGACGGUACCCAAAGAAUAAGCACCGGCUAACUUCGUG